GGGUUGUGAGGUUAAGCGACUAAGCGUACACGGUGGAUGCCCUGGCAGUCAGAGGCGAUGAAGGACGUGCUAAUCUGCGAUAAGCGUCGGUAAGGUGAUAUGAACCGUUAUAACCGGCGAUUUCCGAAUGGGGAAACCCAGUGUGUUUCGACACACUAUCAUUAACUGAAUCCAUAGGUUAAUGAGGCGAACCGGGGGAACUGAAACAUCUAAGUACCCCGAGGAAAAGAAAUCAACCGAGAUUCCCCCAGUAGCGGCGAGCGAACGGGGAGCAGCCCAGAGCCUGAAUCAGUGUGUGUGUUAGUGGAAGCGUCUGGAAAGGCGCGCGAUACAGGGUGACAGCCCCGUACACAAAAAUGCACAUGCUGUGAGCUCGAUGAGUAGGGCGGGACACGUGGUAUCCUGUCUGAAUAUGGGGGGACCAUCCUCCAAGGCUAAAUACUCCUGACUGACCGAUAGUGAACCAGUACCGUGAGGGAAAGGCGAAAAGAACCCCGGCGAGGGGAGUGAAAAAGAACCUGAAACCGUGUACGUACAAGCAGUGGGAGCACGCUUAGGCGUGUGACUGCGUACCUUUUGUAUAAUGGGUCAGCGACUUAUAUUCUGUAGCAAGGUUAACCGAAUAGGGGAGCCGAAGGGAAACCGAGUCUUAACUGGGCGUUAAGUUGCAGGGUAUAGACCCGAAACCCGGUGAUCUAGCCAUGGGCAGGUUGAAGGUUGGGUAACACUAACUGGAGGACCGAACCGACUAAUGUUGAAAAAUUAGCGGAUGACUUGUGGCUGGGGGUGAAAGGCCAAUCAAACCGGGAGAUAGCUGGUUCUCCCCGAAAGCUAUUUAGGUAGCGCCUCGUGAAUUCAUCUCCGGGGGUAGAGCACUGUUUCGGCAAGGGGGUCAUCCCGACUUACCAACCCGAUGCAAACUGCGAAUACCGGAGAAUGUUAUCACGGGAGACACACGGCGGGUGCUAACGUCCGUCGUGAAGAGGGAAACAACCCAGACCGCCAGCUAAGGUCCCAAAGUCAUGGUUAAGUGGGAAACGAUGUGGGAAGGCCCAGACAGCCAGGAUGUUGGCUUAGAAGCAGCCAUCAUUUAAAGAAAGCGUAAUAGCUCACUGGUCGAGUCGGCCUGCGCGGAAGAUGUAACGGGGCUAAACCAUGCACCGAAGCUGCGGCAGCGACGCUGAUGCGUUGUUGGGUAGGGGAGCGUUCUGUAAGCCUGUGAAGGUGUGCUGUGAGGCAUGCUGGAGGUAUCAGAAGUGCGAAUGCUGACAUAAGUAACGAUAAAGCGGGUGAAAAGCCCGCUCGCCGGAAGACCAAGGGUUCCUGUCCAACGUUAAUCGGGGCAGGGUGAGUCGACCCCUAAGGCGAGGCCGAAAGGCGUAGUCGAUGGGAAACAGGUUAAUAUUCCUGUACUUGGUGUUACUGCGAAGGGGGGACGGAGAAGGCUAUGUUGGCCGGGCGACGGUUGUCCCGGUUUAAGCGUGUAGGCUGGUUUUCCAGGCAAAUCCGGAAAAUCAAGGCUGAGGCGUGAUGACGAGGCACUACGGUGCUGAAGCAACAAAUGCCCUGCUUCCAGGAAAAGCCUCUAAGCAUCAGGUAACAUCAAAUCGUACCCCAAACCGACACAGGUGGUCAGGUAGAGAAUACCAAGGCGCUUGAGAGAACUCGGGUGAAGGAACUAGGCAAAAUGGUGCCGUAACUUCGGGAGAAGGCACGCUGAUAUGUAGGUGAAGCGACUUGCUCGUGGAGCUGAAAUCAGUCGAAGAUACCAGCUGGCUGCAACUGUUUAUUAAAAACACAGCACUGUGCAAACACGAAAGUGGACGUAUACGGUGUGACGCCUGCCCGGUGCCGGAAGGUUAAUUGAUGGGGUUAGCGCAAGCGAAGCUCUUGAUCGAAGCCCCGGUAAACGGCGGCCGUAACUAUAACGGUCCUAAGGUAGCGAAAUUCCUUGUCGGGUAAGUUCCGACCUGCACGAAUGGCGUAAUGAUGGCCAGGCUGUCUCCACCCGAGACUCAGUGAAAUUGAACUCGCUGUGAAGAUGCAGUGUACCCGCGGCAAGACGGAAAGACCCCGUGAACCUUUACUAUAGCUUGACACUGAACAUUGAGCCUUGAUGUGUAGGAUAGGUGGGAGGCUUUGAAGUGUGGACGCCAGUCUGCAUGGAGCCGACCUUGAAAUACCACCCUUUAAUGUUUGAUGUUCUAACGUUGACCCGUAAUCCGGGUUGCGGACAGUGUCUGGUGGGUAGUUUGACUGGGGCGGUCUCCUCCUAAAGAGUAACGGAGGAGCACGAAGGUUGGCUAAUCCUGGUCGGACAUCAGGAGGUUAGUGCAAUGGCAUAAGCCAGCUUGACUGCGAGCGUGACGGCGCGAGCAGGUGCGAAAGCAGGUCAUAGUGAUCCGGUGGUUCUGAAUGGAAGGGCCAUCGCUCAACGGAUAAAAGGUACUCCGGGGAUAACAGGCUGAUACCGCCCAAGAGUUCAUAUCGACGGCGGUGUUUGGCACCUCGAUGUCGGCUCAUCACAUCCUGGGGCUGAAGUAGGUCCCAAGGGUAUGGCUGUUCGCCAUUUAAAGUGGUACGCGAGCUGGGUUUAGAACGUCGUGAGACAGUUCGGUCCCUAUCUGCCGUGGGCGCUGGAGAACUGAGGGGGGCUGCUCCUAGUACGAGAGGACCGGAGUGGACGCAUCACUGGUGUU
rnacentral:rRNA from 1 species